ensembl:lncRNA
ACGUCUCCUUCCUGAGCGGUAUGACGGCUGCGUGGUCGCAUGGUGUUUUACUUGUUGUACUAUUGUUGUACAGACGGAUGUGGUACCUUCAGGCGUUUGGAAAUUGCUCCCAAGGUGAACCCAGACUUGUGGAGGUCUACAAAUUUUUUUCUGGGGCUGGCUGAUUUCUUUUGAUUUUCCCAUGAUGUCAAGCAAAUAGGCACUGGUUUUAAGGUAGGCCUUGAAAUACAUCCACAGGUACACCUCCAAUUGACUCAAAUGAUGUCAAUUAGCCUAUCAGAAGCUUCUAAGCCAUGACAUCAUUUUCUGGAAUUUUCCAGCACAGUCAACUUAGGGUAUGUAAACUUCUGACCCACUGGAAUUGUGAUACAGGGAAUUAUAAGUGAAAUAAUUGUUGGAAAAAUGACUUGUGUCUUCACAAGUAACUGUCCUAACCGACUUGCCAAAACUAUAGUUUGUUAACAAGAAAUUUGUGGAGUGGUUGAAAAUGAGUUUUAAUGACUCCAACCUAAGUGUAUUGUAAACUUCUGACUUCAACUGUAUUAAUAUAUAUAUAUAUAUAUAUAUUUGUAGAAGACAUAUUUCACUAAAUAUAUUUACAAGUUCAAAUUGCAUAGUUCAAAAUGUAGGUUUAAAAGUAUUUAAAAGGUGAAAGUGACCAAAAGUGUUUUGUUUGACCAUCUACAUUGUUUUAGAAAUUUGAGGGAAAAAUACCUGAUUAGACUUCAGUGCACUUUUGAAAGUUGUACAAAUCACACAUUUAUUUACUACACAUUAAAUAUGCUUAAAAUUAUAACUUAAACUUAAAGGUUGGUUAUGAGGUCAUAUCUUAUAAUAAUUUAGAUAUUUGUCCUGAUGAAUAAAUAUUAAAUAUUUCUUAUUAUGAAAACAAACAAAAACUAAAUUUGUGAUGACAACACUGAUGAUGUUUGUAAUGAAGUAGUAACUUUCUCUUCAGUUAUGAGAUGAUUCUAUUCAGUUAUGAGACGAUCUCUUCAGUUAUGAGCUAUUCUAUUCAGUUUAUGAGACGAUUCUAUUCAGUAGAGAUGAUUCUCUUCCUUAAUGAGACGAUUCUAUUCAGUAUGAGACGAUUCUCUUCCGUUAUGGACUUUCUAUUCAGUUAGAGACGGACUCUCUUCAGUUAUGAGACGACUCUCUUCAGUUAUGAGACGACUCUCUUCAGUUAUGAGACGAUCUCUUAGUUAUGAGACGAUUCUAUCGUUAUUGAGGACGAUUCUCUCAGUUAUGAGAUGAUUCUCUUCAGUUAUGAGAUGAUUCUCUUCAGUUAAUGGACGCUUCUAUUCAGUUUAGAGAGAUUCUCUUCAGUUAUGAGAUGAUUCUUUCAGUUAUGAGACUAUUCUAUUCAGUUAUGAGAAGACUCUCUCAUUAGUUAUUGAGACGAUUCUCUUCAGUUAUGAGACGAUUCUCUUCAUUAUGAGACGAUUCUUCAGUUAUGAGACGAUUCUAUUCAGUUAGAGUGAUUCUUUUAGUUAUGAGAUGAUUCUAUUCAGUUAUGAGUGAUUCUCUUCAGGCUCUUUUGUAGCAGCGCUGCAUGUUCUAAAGCCAAGGAUUGAAGACACCACUCCACUCUUCAUCCCUCCCCCUCCUCAACUCUCCCCCCACUCUCCCUUGUAGUGUCCUGGGGGUGAGUAUGACCUCUCCCUCCUCCUCUAUAGCCUCCCUCUUCUGUUAUCAGGCUAGUAAUAGUAGUAGUUGUGGUCAGUUACUGCAUGCGGUCUGCUGAAGCUGCUGAGGCUGGUACUGGGCGAAGGUGCAGCUGCUGCGGCUGCUCCCGGGGUGGCUGCGGCUGCUAGAGGUGCGGACGCCAUAACCUACCCUGCUGCAGCCAUGUAGCCCGCAGGGGCCGGGGAGGCUGCGUACGGGUAAUGCUCGUAGGAGAGGCGGCGCGGCGCUGGCGU